UUAAAUUGAAGAGUUUGAUCAUGGCUCAGAUUGAACGCUGGCGGCAGGCCUAACACAUGCAAGUCGAACGGUAACAGGAAGCAGCUUGCUGCUUUGCUGACGAGUGGCGGACGGGUGAGUAAUGUCUGGGAAACUGCCUGAUGGAGGGGGAUAACUACUGGAAACGGUAGCUAAUACCGCAUAACGUCGCAAGACCAAAGAGGGGGACCUUCGGGCCUCUUGCCAUCGGAUGUGCCCAGAUGGGAUUAGCUUGUUGGUGGGGUAACGGCUCACCAAGGCGACGAUCCCUAGCUGGUCUGAGAGGAUGACCAGCCACACUGGAACUGAGACACG
rnacentral:rRNA from 1 species